CCUACGGGAGGCAGCAGUGAGGAAUAUUGGUCAAUGGGCGGGAGCCUGAACCAGCCAAGCCGCGUGCGGGAAGAAGGUACAGCGUAUCGUAAACCUCUUUUGUCAGGGAACAAAGGCGGGCACUAGUCCUCGGAUGAGGGUACCUGAAGAAAAAGCAUCGGCUAACUCCGUGCCAGCAGCCGCGGUAAUACGGAGGAUGCGAGCGUUAUCCGGAUUUAUUGGGUUUAAAGGGUGCGCAGGCGGCCGGUUAAGCCGGCGGUAAAAGCCCGGGGCUCAACCCGGGCGAGCCGUUGGAACUGGCUGGCUGGAGUGGGAGGGAAGUACGCGGAAUGCGCGGUGUAGCGGUGAAAUGCUUAGAUAUCGCGCAGAACCCCGAUUGCGAAGGCAGCAUACCGGAGCCACACUGACGCUGAGGCACGAAGGCGUGGGUAUCGAACAGGAUUAGAUACCCUGGUAGUC
rnacentral:rRNA from 1 species